UCGCAAGCCACUUGAACCUCAAGCACCGGCAAGCCUUUCACACCCGCCAGAUGACACCCGGCGGCACCCUGGCAACACGUCUACACCGCAGGGGGAGAAAAAAAAUGUUCGAGAUGGCAUCCAGAUCUUAAUAUUAGGACAGAUGUGAUGACCUUGGCGUCGUCCGGACUCCACUGAGCUCCGACGUUGACCCAACCGUGCGAAUGACGCCUAAAAGUGACGCGUCGCGGUGGACCGCAGCGCACUGAAACACGGCGACCGUUAAACAUAACAGACAUGACCUCC